UCAUUAUUUAGUAAUAUACUAAAGACAGUAACUGGUGAAUUAACCUUAAUUUGUUACCGAGGUAUACAACAAAUAUUUUAUCUUUAUAAAGUUGUAGAUCUUAACAUAACUUGUCUUUUGUAUUUUUCAAAAGGGCAAGUUAUUUUUGUAUAUUA
rfam:Mycoplasma penetrans HF-2 DNA, complete genome.